rnacentral:rRNA from 1 species
CCCUUAGAUGUUCUGGGCCGCACGCGCGCUACACUGACGAUGGCAACGAGUUUUUCCUUCGCCGAAAGGUGUGGGUAAUCUUUUGAAACAUCGUCGUGCUGGGGAUAGAUCAUUGCAAUUUUUGAUCUUGAACGAGGAAUUCCUAGUAAGCGCGAGUCAUCAGCUCGCGUUGAUUACGUCCCCGCCCUUUGUACACACCGCCCGUCGCUACUACCGAUUGAAUGGUUUAGUGAGGACUCCUGAUUGGCGCCGCCGCCCCGGCAACGGAGCAGCGGACUGCCGAAAAGUUGUUCAAACUUGAUCAUUUAGAGGAAGUAAAAGUCGUAACA